GGUACCGUAGAUAUUGCUGACAUCCGGGCAUUCGAUUAACUUAACUUUCUCCCUCCAAAAAAAGAAAAGAAAACGUGAUACAUCCGGGACCUCAUAUCUCUAUCACAAAGAGAUAUGAAAACUUGAGUUACGUGCAUUAAACACUUCCGGCUCCGAUUAGAGUUCUGCGCGCACACGGAGCAAGAGAAGUGGAGCGGUAGCUAGAAAUAAAUGUGGAACGACAGGACUGAGAGACGUUUCUUUCAGAUAAUCAGGUUUUCACGAUAUUUUGCGCACUGGCGACACUUGUUCUCUUUUUCGAAUUUUAAAAAAAGAGUUCGCCGUUGGUGAAUCAUGCGGGCAGGAAGAAGGUAAAGCAUGAAAAAUUCGAGUCAGGGGCAUUUUUAUCAUACGAACUUGAUGUUUUGUUUAGAAAUGCAUGCCUUUUAUUCAUCCACCUGAUGCUAUUCAUCAGGCAAUAUUUACAGCAACAUUUUGAUCCCCCUUCAGAUUACAAUAUUAAUUGAGCCGUUAGGAGAAACAAUAAAGACGGUAGCGUGUCUUGGUCCAGAAAAUGAAACUGGCACUACUGAACAGAUCUUUUAAGCGUAUAGGAUAGCGCAUAGCCCUACUAGGAAGGCGGGGGGGAAAUCUUUAUUUAAUCUUUAUUUUCGAUAGAAGGAGUAGUUACUGCACAACACUGCAACAAAAGGCAGCCGCUACUGCCGACUGUUUUAUUCGCUGACACUGAUUCAUUUCCUAUGCAUUUUCUCCUCCUGCUCCGCACAUGGAGGAUUCUACUAGCUGGAACCAUUAACCGGAACUCAUUUUAGAAAACCUUUAAGACUUGCCCCAUCAUGGCUUCUUCCACCUCUUGCCGAACACCCAAAUCAAGACAGCAUCCGGGACCUUUUUAUUUUGAAACCGCGUUAUGUGAUUCUCUGAACUUUACGGCAGAGCCUUCGACCUGGCGGGCUUGUAGAGCUUGCGCCCGUUUGCAGCCCGAUCCUAGCACAUUUUCUUGGGAGCAAACUGCAUUUGAAAUGAAUGCGACUUGCGCUUUAGUAAUUGAAUUUAUUGUAGUGUGCAGCCAGAUCCUAUGCAUGACAUGGAAGUUGGCUUUAAAGCAGGACUUAUUCCCAGAUGAAGAAACACGGGGACACCUCAAUGGCAAAGAUUGUGAUGAUGUCAUCCACCUCAAUUCAAGACGGUGGACAAUUAAACUUUGGAGGUGCAAGUGCACUAAUUUGUGGACAGUAACCGAUUUGAACCAAAUUUGCUACAGCUGAAUGGACACAGAGGGAUGCCCCAAUGGUGUAGUUUGUGGUGAUGUCACCCACCCCGAUCCAAGAUGGUGGAUGCAUAAACCUUUGAGACACAAGUGCACUAACCUGAGGACUGUCUAAUUGAUUUGAACCAAAUUUGGAACAGCUGAAGUGAAUGACACACAGGGACACCAAUGGUGCAGUUUGUAGUGAUGACAUCCACACCGAUCCAAGAUGGCAGACCCAUGAACAUUUGAGGCGCAAGAGAUCUAACUUGUGGACCUUGAUUUGCACCAAAUUUAGUCCAGAUGUAGAGACAGUGAAAGGAAAGUAGGCUGAUUAGUUCUUUUAAUUAUUUCUUCACUUCAGCAUGUUCCUGUGUCAGAGUGACACACAGUGUCAGAGCAUGGUGGGGAAUGGUUGCUUGAGCCUGGAGAGAAGCACAAUAGUGAAUCUUGUUGGGGUGCUAGCUAGGGCCCUGGUAUUUUUUUAUGUACAGGCACCAGACCUAUACAAUGCAUUAGCCUAUGCUUGUUUACUUGAAAGAAACUCCUACUCAGUUCAACAAAUAUUACUCCCAUGUAAGUGAACAUUGUUUUCCAGCCUAACAUUCCAUUCUUAUGCAUGGGAAGUAAGUCCCCCUGAGUUCCAGGGGGUUUACUCCCAAGUUAGUGCACAUAGGGCUGCACUUAUCUGUUAAAGGUUAAGCUGCAAGAUUGUUUGGAGCUUGUAAAUAAACACACAUAUUUGGGAGUAAGUCCGAUUGAACUCAGUGACACUGAUUUCCAAGUAGAUGUGGAGUGGAUUGUGCUGCAACACGGCUGGAAGUUGUGCAUAGGGCAGCUGGCUUUAAGAGUCUGCAGAAAAGCAAGUUUGUCCAACACUUUCUCAACAGCAAAUUUGACUGAACAUGUCAGCUCAACAGGGGUACACAACUUUAAAACGUAACUAAUAUUGCCUUGCAGUUGCAACACUUCAAGACGAAAUGGGGACAUUCUUUUAUCCCAUCUCACAACAUGGACCUUACCUGAGCUCCAUACCAUAUUGUUACACAUCAUUGCAUUCUCUUUGCGGUCAGUUCUGCAGCACUGUAUAUAUUUACCCUGUAGUAGCCUGUCCUGUGUUGAUUUGUUUUUGAGUUAAAGAUAUUAAAAAAACCAAACCCUA